rnacentral:rRNA from 1 species
UUGGAGGGCAAGUCUGGUGCCAGCAGCCGCGGUAAUUCCAGCUCCAAUAGCGUAUAUUAAAGUUGUUGCAGUUAAAAAGCUCGUAGUUGAAUUUCGGGGUCAGCAGGUUGGUCAUGCCUCUGGUAUGCACUGGUUUCGCUGAUUCCUCCUUUCUGAAGAACUGUAAUGUCAUUAAUUUGGUGUUGCAGGGAAACAGGACUGUUACUUUGAAAAAAUUAGAGUGUUUAAAGCAAGCUAACGCUUGAAUACAUUAGCAUGGAAUAAUGAAAUAGGACGUUUGAUCCUAUUUUGUUGGUUUCUAGGAUUGACGUAAUGAUUAAUAGGGAUAGUUGGGGGCAUUAGUAUUCAAUUGUCAGAGGUGAAAUUCUUGGAUUUAUUGAAGACUAACUACUGCGAAAGCAUUUGCCAAGGAUGUUUUCAUUAAUCAAGAACGAAAGUUAGGGGAUCGAAGACGAUCAGAUACCGUCGUAGUCUUAACCAUAAACUAUGCCGACUAGGGAUCGGAUGAUGUUAAUUUUUUAAUGACUCAUUCGGCGCCUUACGGGAAAC